CGGACGGGUGAGUAAUGUCUGGGAAACUGCCCGAUGGAGGGGGAUAACUACUGGAAACGGUAGCUAAUACCGCAUAACGUCGCAAGACCAAAGAGGGGGACCUUAGGGCCUCUUGCCAUCGGAUGUGCCCAGAUGGGAUUAGCUAGUAGGUGGGGUAAUGGCUCACCUAGGCGACGAUCCCUAGCUGGUCUGAGAGGAUGACCAGCCACACUGGAACUGAGACGCGGUCCAG
rnacentral:rRNA from 1 species